rnacentral:rRNA from 1 species
CGAAAGGACGCCUACCAUGCAGUCGAGCGGUAGCACAGGGGAGCUUGCUCCCCGGGUGACGAGCGGCGGACGGGUGAGUAAUGUCUGGGAAACUGCCUGAUGGAGGGGGAUAACUACUGGAAACGGUAGCUAAUACCGCAUAACGUCGCAAGACCAAAGAGGGGGACCUUCGGGCCUCUUGCCAUCAGAUGUGCCCAGAUGGGAUUAGCUAGUAGGUGGGGUAAUGGCUCACCUAGGCGACGAUCCCUAGCUGGUCUGAGAGGAUGACCAGCCACACUGGAACUGAGACACGGUCCAGACUCCUACGGGAGGCAGCAGUGGGGAAUAUUGCACAAUGGGCGCAAGCCUGAUGCAGCCAUGCCGCGUGUGUGAAGAAGGCCUUCGGGUUGUAAAGCACUUUCAGCGAGGAGGAAGGUGGUGAGCUUAAUACGUUCAUCAAUUGACGUUACUCGCAGAAGAAGCACCGGCUAACUCCGUGCCAGCAGCCGCGGUAAUACGGAGGGUGCAAGCGUUAAUCGGAAUUACUGGGCGUAAAGCGCACGCAGGCGGUUUGUUAAGUCAGAUGUGAAAUCCCCGGGCUCAACCUGGGAACUGCAUUUGAAACUGGCAAGCUAGAGUCUCGUAGAGGGGGGUAGAAUUCCAGGUGUAGCGGUGAAAUGCGUAGAGAUCUGGAGGAAUACCGGUGGCGAAGGCGGCCCCCUGGACGAAGACUGACGCUCAGUGCGAAAGCGUGGGGGAGCAAACAGGAUUAGAUACCCUGGUAGUCCACGCUGUAAACGAUGUCGAUUUGGAGGUGUGCCCUUGGAGGCGUGCCUCCAGAGCUAACGCGUUAAUCGACCGCCUGGGGAGUACCGCGCAAGGUAAACUCAAAUGAUUGACGGGGCCCCGCCAAGCGGUGAGCAUGUGUAUCGAUGCCACCGAGACUUACUACUCUUUGACACUCCAAGAAACC